GGCGAAGCUGAUCCAUCAUACCGCGUGUGUGAAGAAGGCCUGAGGGUUGUAAAGCACUUUCAAUAGGAAGGAAUACCUAUCGGUUAAUACCCGGUAGACUGACAUUACCUAUACAAGAAGCACCGGCUAACUCCGUGCCAGCAGCCGCGGUAAUACGGAGGGUGCAAGCGUUAAUCGGAAUUACUGGGCGUAAAGCGUGCGUAGGCGGUUAUUUAAGUCAGAUGUGAAAGCCCUGGGCUUAACCUGGGAACUGCAUUUGAUACUGGAUGACUAGAGUUGAGUAGAGGAGAGUGGAAUUUCAGGUGUAGCGGUGAAAUGCGUAGAGAUCUGAAGGAACACCAGUGGCGAAGGCGGCUCUCUGGACUCAAACUGACGCUGAGGUACGAAAGCGUGGGUAGCAAACAGGAUUAGAUACCCUGGUAGUCCACGCCGUAAACGAUGUCAACUAACCGUUGGGUUCUUUAAGAACUUAGUGGUGGAGCUAACGUAUUAAGUUGACCGCCUGGGGAGUACGGNCGCAAGGCUAAAACCCAAAUGAAUUGACGGGGGCCCGCACAAGCGGUGGAGCAUGUGGUUUAAUUCGAUGCAACGCGAAGAACCCUUA
rnacentral:rRNA from 1 species